GCAGCGAACUGCGAUAAGUAAUGCGAAUUGCAGAAUUCAGCGAGCCAUCGAAUCUUUGAACGCACAUUGCGCCCGCCAGCAUUCUGGCGGGCAUGCCUGUCCGAGCGUCAUUUCCUCCCUCACGCAGCGCGCCUGCGUGGUGUUGGGGCGUUCUGCGGCCAGGCCUGCGCCCA
rnacentral:rRNA from 1 species